rnacentral:ncRNA from 1 species
AUUGAACUGGCGACAACACUUGGGAUUGAAGUGUUAAAUUGAAAAUGGCACUUUUUUGGCACUUUUUGAGUAAAAAAAGGUGAUAAAAUGUUAUUAGUGAGAAGUGAAGAUGAUUACAAAAAUAAAUCUUAUAUUGAGUCUGCACUCCACUUCUCAUUUAUA